AGUGAACGCUGGCGGUAGGCCUAACACAUGCAAGUCGAACGGCAGCACAGUAAGAGCUUGCUCUUACGGUUGGCGAGUGGCGGACGGGUGAGAAGUACAUCGCAAUCUACUUUUUCGUGGGGGAUAACGUAGGGAAACUUCCGCUAAUACCGCAUACGACCUACGGGUGAAAUCAGGAGAUCUUCGGACCUUGCGCGAUUCAAUGAGCCGAUGUCGGAUUAGCUAGUUGGCGGGGUAAAGGCCCACCAAGGCGACGAUGCGUAGCUGGUCUGAGAGGAUGAUCAGCCACACUGGAACUGAGACACGGUCCAGACUCCUACGGGAGGCAGCAGUGGGGAAUAUUGGACAAUGGGCGAAAGCCUGACGCAGCAAUACUGCGUGGGUGAAGAAGGCCUUCGGGUUGUAAAGCCCUUUUGUUGGGAAAGAAAAGCAGCAGGUUAAUACCCCGCUGUUUUGACGGUACCCAAAGAAUAAGCACCGGCUAACUUCGUG
rnacentral:rRNA from 1 species